UACUCCGUAGCUCAUGCAGUGGUUAGAGCAUCCGACCGGUGUACGGAAGGUCAUGGGCUCAAAUCCCGUCGGGGACCGGCUCAA